rnacentral:rRNA from 1 species
CCCGCACAAGCGGUGGAGCAUGUGGUUUAAUUCGAAGCUACGCGAAGAACCUUACCAGGUCUUGACAUCUUGCGCCAACCCUAGAGAUAGGGCGUUUCCUUCGGGAACGCAAUGACAGGUGGUGCAUGGUCGUCGUCAGCUCGUGUCGUGAGAUGUUGGGUUAAGUCCCGCAACGAGCGCAACCCUUGUUACUAGUUGCCAGCAUUAAGUUGGGCACUCUAGUGAGACUGCCGGUGACAAACCGGAGGAAGGUGGGGACGACGUCAGAUCAUCAUGCCCCUUAUGACCUGGGCUACACACGUGCUACAAUGGACGGUACAACGAGUCGCGAACUCGCGAGGGCAAGCAAAUCUCUUAAAACCGUUCUCAGUUCGGACUGCAGGCUGCAACUCGCCUGCACGAAGUCGGAAUCGCUAGUAAUCGCGGAUCAGCAUGCCGCGGUGAAUACGUUCCCGGGCCUUGUACACACCGCCCGUCACACCAUGAGAGUUUGUAACACCCAAAGUCGGU